UAUCUGUCUAUAUUAAUUGAAUACACCAAAUAAAUACUUGACUCUUCAUUUGACCUUUGUAGACACAACUUGUGGCACUUGGCAGCACUCAUAAGCCUGAGAAGAGAAGAAAGCAUAAGAGAUAAUGUGGCAGGUCUACGUGCAGGAGGGACUUCAGGGAGUUGAGGUGAUUAUCCAGGGGGCUCCUGUCACCUUGUCCUGAAACCCACAAAGAAGAG
rnacentral:lncRNA from 1 species